rnacentral:rRNA from 1 species
UGGGGAAUUUUGGACAAUGGGCGCAAGCCUGAUCCAGCAAUGCCGCGUGAGUGAAGAAGGCCUUCGGGUUGUAAAGCUCUUUUGUCAGGGAAGAAACGGGUGGGGCUAAUAUCCCUACCUAAUGACGGUACCUGAAGAAUAAGCACCGGCUAACUACGUGCCAGCAGCCGCGGUAAUACGUAGGGUGCAAGCGUUAAUCGGAAUUACUGGGCGUAAAGCGUGCGCAGGCGGUUUUGUAAGUUUGUCGUGAAAUCCCCGGGCUUAACCUGGGAAUUGCGAUGAAGACUGCAAGGCUAGAAUCUGGCAGAGGGGGGUAGAAUUCCACGUGUAGCAGUGAAAUGCGUAGAGAUGUGGAGGAACACCGAUGGCGAAGGCAGCCCCCUGGGUCAAGAUUGACGCUCAUGCACGAAAGCGUGGGGAGCAAACAG